rnacentral:ncRNA from 1 species
UCUACUUCCCUUCUCUUCUAGCGACCACAGCAAGGGACGGGCUGGAUAAUUAGCGGGAAGAGACCUUUGAGCUGACUCUAAUCUGCAGUGUAGAGACAUAAGAGGUGUAGAUAAGUGGAGAUAUAGACCUCGGUUUGGUAUCGUCAAUGAAAUACCACUACUCUUAUGUUCCUUACUUACUUGAUUAAAUGGAACGUGUAUCAUUUCCUAGCCAUUAUACGGAUAUAUUUAUUAUAUCUUAUGGUAUUGGGUUUUGAUGCAAGCUUCUUGAUCAAAGUAUCACGAGUUUGUUAUAUAAUCGCAAACAAAUUCUUUAAUAAAACGAUGCAUUUAUGUAUUUUUGAUUUGAAAAUUUGGUAUAACUCCAAUUACUCAGGUAUGAUCCAAUUCAAGGACAUUGCCAGGUAGGGAGUUUGACUGGGGCGGUACAUCUCUCAAAUAAUAACGGAGGUGUCCCAAGGCCAGCUCAGUGCGGACAGAAACCACACAUAGAGCAAAAGGGCAAAUGCUGACUUGAUCUCGGUGUUCAGUACACACAGGGACAGCAAAAGCUCGGCCUAUCGAUCCUUUUGGUUUAAAGAGUUUUUAACAAGAGGUGUCAGAAAAGUUACCAUAGGGAUAACUGGCUUGUGGCGGCCAAGCGUUCAUAGCGACGUCGCUUUUUGAUCCUUCGAUGUCGGCUCUUCCUAUCAUUGUGAAGCAAAAUUCACCAAGCGUUGGAUUGUUCACCCAUGCAAGGGAACGUGAGCUGGGUUUAGACCGUCGUGAGACAGGUUAGUUUUACCCUACUAAUGACAAAACGUUGUUGCGACAGCAUUCCUGCGUAGUACGAGAGGAACCGCAGGUACGGACCAAUGGCACAAUACUUGUUCGAGCGAACAGUGGUAUGACGCUACGUCCGUUGGAUUAUGCCUGAACGCCUCUAAGGUCUUAGUAUCCGUGCUGGACUGCAAUGAUAAAUAAGGGGCAAUUUGCAUUGUAUGGCUUCUAAAC